rnacentral:rRNA from 1 species
GACGAACGCUGGCGGCGUGCUUAACACAUGCAAGUCGAACGGUGAAGGGGUCUGCUUUUGUGGGCCCUGGAUGAGUGGCGAACGGGUGAGUAACACGUGAGUAACCUGCCCCCUUCUUCUGGAUAACCGCAUGAAAGUGUGGCUAAUACGGGAUAUUCUGGGUCUGUCGCAUGAUGGGUCUGGGAAAGAUUGCGCCUUUGGGUGUUUUUGGUGGGGGAUGGGCUCGCGGCCUAUCAGCUUGUUGGUGGGGUGAUGGCCUACCAAGGCGGUGACGGGUAGCCGGCCUGAGAGGGUGGACGGUCACACUGGGACUGAGACACGGCCCAGACUCCUACGGGCGGCAGCAGUGGGGAAUAUUGCACAAGGGGCGCAAGCCUGAUGCAGCGACGCCGCGUGAGGGAUGGAGGCCUUCGGGUUGUAAACCUCUUUCGCCAGUGAAGCAGGCCUGCUCCUUGUGGGUGGGUUGACGGUAGCUGGAUAAGAAGCGCCGGCUAACUACGUG